CACGUAGGGGGCAAGCGUUUGUCCGGAUUUAUUGGGCGUAAAGAGCUCGUAGGCUGUUCGAUAAGUCGGGUGUGAAACCUCCAGGCUCAACCUGGAGACGCCACCCGAUACUGUCAUGACUAGAGUCCGGUAGGGGAGCGUGGAAUUCCUGGUGUAGCGGUGAAAUGCGCAGAUAUCAGGAGGAACACCGGUGGCGAAGGCGGGUCUCUGGGCCGAUACUGACGCUGAGGAGCGAAAGCGUGGGGAGCGAACAGG
rnacentral:rRNA from 1 species